rnacentral:rRNA from 1 species
UACGUAGGGGGCUAGCGUUGUCCGGAAUCAUUGGGCGUAAAGAGCGUGUAGGCGGCCCGGUAAGUCCGCUGUGAAAGUCGGGGGCUCAACCCUCGGAUGCCGGUGGAUACUGUCGGGCUCGAGUACGGAAGAGGCGAGUGGAAUUCCUGGUGUAGCGGUGAAAUGCGCAGAUAUCAGGAGGAACACCUAUUGCGAAGGCAGCUCGCUGGGACGUUACUGACGCUGAGACGCGAAAGCGUGGGGAGCAAAUGGG